rnacentral:misc_RNA from 1 species
GUGAAUCAUCAAAUUUUUGAACGCAAAUUGCACUCUCUUCGAAGAGUAUGCCUGUUUGAGGGUCAGUAUUAAUAAAAAUCGGUAUGUUGCUUCUUUGUGACGCUCCGGAGGUUGGGUCAUCUUAAUAUCCUUUAGGUUUUAAGAUGCUUACAAUUGACUUUUUUUGUGCAUUUUUGAUGUACAUUAAUUUUUUUUUUUAUUCGUCUGUCUUUAUGCUCAAAAUCUUAUUAGAU